GAUCUCCGGGACCCUGCAGCGUGAGAAGGGAGGAGGGACAAGUCCGGGUGUCGGUGCAGAUCCCACCAGGAAACCCUCCAGCAUCAGCAACAUGAGACUGUGGCUGACCCUCGCUUUCUUACUAGCAGCCCUUCCAGGUGUCCGGUCACAGGUCCAGCUGGUGGAGUCCGGAGGGGGGAUUGAAACCCCUGGGGGAUCUCUCCGCCUCUCCUGCAAAACCUCCGGCUUCACCUUCAGCAGCUACUUCAUGGCCUGGGUCCGUCAGGCUCCCGGCAAAGGACUGGAGUGGGUCGCCGACAUACGCAACCCUUCUUCUAGUUCAGCCACAUAUUACAGUGAUGCGGUUAAAGGGCGAUUCACCAUCUCCAGAGACGAGUCCAGCAGCACGGUGUGUCUGCAAAUGAACAGCCUGAAAGCCGAAGACACCGCCCGGUAUCACUGUGCGAGAGACACAGACAUCAGAAACCUCCUGCGGUUAGCACAGAAACCUCCAGCGCGAAUCCCCCUCCCGCUCCGUGCCCACAGUCACGGCUGGAACAGAGCCGUUCAGACAGGAACCCAGAGCGUGAAGCCUCCAGUCCUUUAG